GUUUGUGAUUGGCGGGUUCUCUGCGCGGGAAGUUCGACCGGAAGUCGGGCGCAGAGCUGGAGCAGAGCAGAGAUAGAGGGAAUGAACUAAGGACUCCGGACGAAGGGCGGCAGUGGUAGCGUAAGCACAGCAGCAGGAACGGCCCGAAGGCCGUUGUCCAAUGAUUGGGUCGAGUUUUGAGUGCACUAUGCUCCCGUUUCUGUAGGCUCACCUUUCCGUCAAGUAGCCACUUCCAGAGAAAAUAACAGCUCUUAAUUCAUCAGUUGAGGUAUUUUGUAUGCUUUCAUAAACCUCUGUACCAAAAUCGGAAACUGAAAGGACCAGGCUUCAUUCAGAUGAGGGCACAGGAGAAGAAUGAGGCACAAACAAGUCAGCUUCAAGAGAAUGGGAGCAGGGGUUGGCCAUUGAGAAGACUGCCUGCCACCUCAAACAACUCCUCAGUCCCUUAUUUAUUAGAUACAAGACAACAAUCAACAAAGAAGUCGAAGGAGAUUAUAGAUAAACAAGAUGUGUCUGAUCAAGCAGUAUAGGAUUUGUGGUUGAGGAAACACAUUUAAAGGAAUCAUCUAAUUAACUACGUGUGAUCUCUUGGAGAAGGGGAGAUAAAAGAAAAAAGAAGCAGGCCAUUUUCCACCCUGAGCUGAGUGGGCAGGGUGUUCCCUGCUGCUUGGCUUCAAGGAUGUAUAUCAUCCUCUCCCCCAGAGGCCUGUUGCUGGUACAUGUUCAAGCAUGUUUGGUCAGUACAUUGUUCUGAGGGACAGUUACAGAUGUUGAGCGUUUUUUUGUUUGUUUUUGUUGUUGUUUU